GCACUGAGCAGCACCGGUGUUCUUCAUCCGGCUGCACCCCCAACAGAGCUCUUUCUUCCCCAGAUCCCUUUUACAGUUGGAUUCUCCCUCUUGGAUCUGGCUCUGCCUUAGUCCGACCUAGAGGGAUCAGCUUCGCCCACGCCCACUCUCACCCGGAACCUUUCAUCUCUUAUUGAAGCCUUUUAGGCCCAUUGGGAUGUUCAUUAGAACUCUGAAAACUACAGUUCUCCCCUUUAUGAGGACUGCACCACAGCUCGCCCUCUCCUGGGUUCCGGUAAGAAGAGAUUCCAAUACCACUCUUUUUUCAGAAUUCAGAAAGGCAAGAGACCACCUUACUGAGCUUCAAACUGGGGCUGGGAACGCUGCCAUGAAUUGGGCUUGGUCUGUCUGAAGGGAGCCACCUUUUCGACAAUCCUUAGACUUCUUUUGCCUGUUGGAAUUACACCUUGGAUCGUGGCGAAGUCUAUAGAGGUCAGAUUAAGAAGAACCAAAGCAGAAUAAACGUAGAACCCGAUGCUGAGUUCACGAGUGAGGACGACCUCUUCCUAUAUGCUUUGCUAUACCCUGCGUUUUGAACAUUAAGGACGAGAUAGGAGGCCCAUAAUGUUUCUUCUUGCUUUAAUCCUGUCGUGGCAACGUUGACUUCCAGUAAGAAAGAAACAAGGUCUCACUGUGUCACCCAGGCUGGAGAGCAGUGGCACGAUCAUAGCUCACUGAUCACAUGGCAGCCUCAAACUCCUGGACUCAGUGGGUCCUCCUGCCUCAGCAUCCUGAGUAGCUGGGACUACAGAGUGAGCCCAUGGGACAGCCCUCUGAAAUUAUACUGCUUACAACCAUGCUGAGUCUGCAAGGACUUCGUCCAAGCCUUUCCGUCCAGGACCUCAAACAGAUCCAAUCACAAGAAGAGAGAUUUCAGGAAAGAGAAAAUUAUUCCUAUCAUCGGGGUUUUUGAAGAACAUGAAAUGACUGGGAAAAUAAUCAUGUUAAGUGGAAAAAAAAAAGAAAUCUAUCUGUUGUAAUUUUCAAAUAAUUUUUAAAUAAAUUUGAAAAAUUAAGAGAACUAUAUAUAUAAUACAUUCCUAAUCUUGUGAAAAAUAUAUAUGCAUUAAUAUUAUUGAAAGAAAUAUAUCAAAAGGUGAACAGCAAUUAUCACCAAUCUAGAUUAUGAGAUUAGGAGUGAUUUUUUUUCUUUGUCCUAUACUAUUUAAUAUUUUCUACCAUUAAAAUAUUCUGAUUUUCUAAUUAGAAUAGUACGUUAGACAAAGAAGGACAAAUAUCACAUGAACUCUCACUCUCUUAUGGAACAGAUCUUGUGGAAUCUAAAAAAGUUGAACUCAUAGAAAAAGAGGAAAAUGAUGGUUACCAGUUAGAAAAAAGGAAUAAGUUCAAGAGAUCUAUUGUACACCAUGGUCAAUAUAGUUAACAAUAUAUUUUAUACUUUAAAAUUGCUAAGGUAGUAGAUUUUAAGUGUUCUCACCACACAAAAAAAUAAGUAUGUGAAAAGCAUAUGGUAAUUAGCUUGAUUUAACCACGCCACAGUGCAUACAUAUGUCAAAACAUCAUGU
rnacentral:lncRNA from 1 species